rnacentral:rRNA from 1 species
CAAAUUUCUGGCCCUAUCAACUUUCGAUGGUAGAGUAGUGGUCUACCAUGGUUUCAACGGGUAACGGGGAAUUAGGGUUCUAUUCCGGAGAGGGGGCCUGAGAAACGGCUACCACAUCCAAGGAAGGCAGCAGGCGCGCAAAUUACCCAAUCCCGACACGGGGAGGUAGUGACAAUAAAUACUGAUACAGGGCUCUUUUGGGUCUUGUAAUUGGAAUGAGUACAAUUUAAAUCCCUUAACGAGGAACAAUUGGAGGGCAAGUCUGGUGCCAGCAGCCGCGGUAAUUCCAGCUCCAAUAGCGUAUAUUAAAGUUGUUGCAGUUAAAAAGCUCGUAGUUGAACCUUGGGCCUGGUUGGCCCGGUCCGCCUCACCGCGUGGCACUGGUCCGGGCCGGGCCUUUCCUUCUGGGGAGCCGAAUGCCUUCACUUGGGUGUGUCGGGGAACCAGGACUUUUUACUUUGAAAAAAUUAGAGUGUUCAAAGCAGGGCUAUGCUCGAAUACAUUAGCAUGGAUAAUAGAAUAGGACGUGUGGUUCUAU